rnacentral:rRNA from 1 species
GAUGAACGCUAGCUACAGGCUCAACACAUGCAAGUCGAGGGGAAACGACAUCGAAAGCUUGCUUUUGAUGGGCGUCGACCGGCGCACGGGUGAGUAACGCGUAUCCAGCCUGCCCACCACUUGGGGAUAACCUUGCGAAAGUAAGACUAAUACCCAAUGAUAUCUCUAGAAGACAUCUGAAGGAGAUUAAAGAUUUAUCGGUGAUGGAGGGGGAUGCGUCUGAUUAGCUUGUUGGCGGGGUAACGGCCCACCAAGGCGACGAUCAGUGGGGGGUCUGAGAGGAAGGUCCCCCACAUUGGAACUGAGACACGGUCCAAACUCCUACGGGAGGCAGCAGUGAGGAAUAUUGGUCAAUGGGCGAGAGCUUGAACCAGCCAAGUAGCGUGCAGGAUGACGGCCCUAUGGGUUGUAAACUGCUUUUAUAAGGGAAUAAAGUGAGCCUCGUGAGGCUUUUUGCAUGUACCUUAUGAAUAAGGACCGGCUAAUUCCGUGCCAGCCGCCGCCGUAA